GGACUUUGCAGCCAAGACGGCCGCAGGGGUUGAGAGGAGGCYGCCCCAGCAUCUGCCCUGGCUUCCACCAAGCCCCCUCGUUUCCCCUGGGCUGAGCGAGUUUCUCAGCCCUCGAGGGGAACCCUGGAUGAGCUGCAGAAACCUGGCAAUGUGGAGUGUAACUGAAGUGAGAUGUGACUGUAACGUGUUUUCUCCCUCAACAAACAAGGGACUUCAGCUUUCUGAUCCGAAACAGCGAUAGCCACAGCCGUGACAGCCAGGGAUCAGCUACACCUCWUGAUUUGACACCGAUUUCAAUCAGUUUGAUCACCAUGCAGAUYCUUUGUUGUCAUCUUCAGGAAGCAUUUGCUCAUUAACGAAACAUACUUUCCAUUCCCAUUUUGAAAUCCAUGGAAAAUCCUGUCAGUGAGGAAAUGUGCGAGUAUUCUGCAGUCUUUCCCCAGCUUCUCCCUUCUAUUUUUUUUAUUUCUCACUUUGCCUCCAGUCUUCUCCUCUUCAGUAAAGGUUGGUCUUCUCCAYGGUUGUUCCCUAGCUCAUGUUCUUGAUAGGUUAAUAUAAACAAUCUCUAAAAUUACAGAUGUGGUAGUUCUGGCCUGGAUCAGGCCACAUUCGUUAUUUGUGUCAGCAGAUGGGGCUCCAAUGGACUUCUGCUCAUUGCCAGCACUCCACUUGACUCCCUGGCUGCGCAGCAGAGUCAUUACAUGAUGCAUGACAGUCCCCCAUGCUCAUACAUGCAUUUAAUUAUUUGUGCUUUUUCUGUUCUAUUGUUUCACUAUGGACUUGACUAACUGUAACAGUAGGACAAUGAACUGGCUAUGGUGUCCUCAGUAAAUCAGKAAUCGGUUAACUUCUAAACCAGAGAGUUUCUGCAGUGGAUCUAGGCUGCUGGGGGCUGCUAGGGAGCACAGUGCUGUUGGGACUCACUAAGGAGGGUGCAAAGAUCUAAAGAUCUGUCUUUUCCUCCCUCCUACCUAAUGCCCUUCACCACCUUCAGUAAAUCUCUUCCUACAGUGUGAUAAGAAUGACAUUAGAUUGAUGAACUGCUUAAAACGUGUAUUAUUAACCCAGUUGCAGCAUUUUGAACAUGCCUAACAUUAAUGUUGAAUGCCUGUAAAUAAGAUAUACAAUACCCAUUUCUUAUGGAAAUGCUGUUUGUGCAUAUUUCUUUGUCAGUGAACUAUUUCUCUGUAUUUGUCUAUCAGUCAUCCGUAAAUCUCAUGAAAGUGGUAAGUUAAUACUGAAAUUCUGUUAGGGCUACCUUUAAUUCUCACAAAUGCAUGAGCAAUUUUCUUACACACAGCAAGAGCCUAUCUGCAUACAGAAGUCCUAUUAACUCUAACAGCGGUUAUUCAAAGUUAAACAAAGGCAAGUAGAAGCCUGUGUGUUUAAAUUCCAACCAGUAUGGCUUAUCAGCAAAUUAAUGACUUACAAAGCCCAAACCAAUUCUGCUACAUUUAAUAUUCUACAACUGCAAACCAACAUGUUAUAUACAUUAAUCAAUUUGUCAUAAAUAGCCCCCUAUUUCAUAUACAAGCGAAUAAAAUGGACAAUCCACUGCAUAUUUUAUUCAUAAAGCAAUAUAUAAC